rnacentral:rRNA from 1 species
UACGGAGGGUGCAAGCGUUUAUCCGGAUUCACUGGGUUUAAAGGGUGCGUAGGAGGGCAGGUAAGUCAGUGGUGAAAUCUCCAAGCUUAACUUGGAACUGCCGUUGAUACUAUCUGUCUUGAAUAUUGUGGAGGUGAGCGGAAUAUGUCAUGUAGCGGUGAAAUGCUUAGAUAUGACAUAGAACACCAAAUUGCGAAGGCAGCUCACUACUCAAUCAUUGACUCUGAGGCACGAAAGCGUGGGGAUCAAACAGG